UCAAGCCAGGGCUACCUUCAGCACACCUGAGGUAGUUCAGCACUACCAACCAUCCACUCUCUGGCUCCAUUUGGGGCAGAAAUCACCAUACAGAUGAUAAAGUAAAAGGAAGAUGGCCCGAUUCCGACGAUACCACAGACAUCGUAGCAAGAAAGGUGGCACCAAGAAAGGGCAGGGAGGGCAGGUACGGUGUGGCAAGCGAGGUGGCAAGAAGAAACGAGGAGGCGAUGGAGGAGGCCAUGGAGGAGGCCGGGGUGGCAAGAAAAAAGGUCGUUACCACUACAGGAGGUGUGUGUUGUACUAAUCUGGCCUAUCUGGAACCGAAGAAACCUGCCUGGUGACAAGCAAUCUUUGUCUGAAGUGACAGCAGUUUCCAACCAAAGCAUCACCACUCUGGAGCAAUGUUGGAGAGAGCAUUUCCAAUUCAAUUAAAGCUUCUGUGGUUGGAA